rnacentral:rRNA from 1 species
ACUCCUACGGGAGGCAGCAGUGGGGAAUAUUGGACAAUGGGCGCAAGCCUGAUCCAGCAAUGCCGCGUGUGUGAAGAAGGCCUGAGGGUUGUAAAGCACUUUUAGUUUGGAAGAAGUUGCGCUUUUAGCGUAAUUGACGUUACAAACAGAAAAAGCACCGGCUAACUCUGUGCCAGCAGCCGCGGUAAUACGGAGGGGGUUAGCGUUGUUCGGAAUUACUGGGCGUAAAGCGCACGUAGGCGGAUCGGAAAGUUGGGGGUGAAAUCCCGGGGCUCAACCCCGGAACGGCCUCCAAAACUAUCGGUCUAGAGUUCGAGAGAGGUGAGUGGAAUUCCGAGUGUAGAGGUGAAAUUCGUAGAUAUUCGGAGGAACACCAGUGGCGAAGGCGGCUCACUGGCUCGAUACUGACGCUGAGGUGCGAAAGUGUGGGGAGCAAACAGGAUUAGAUACCCUGGUAGGC